rnacentral:rRNA from 1 species
AGAGUUUGAUCCUGGCUCAGAUUGAACGCUGGCGGCAUGCCUUACACAUGCAAGUCGAACGCGAAAGGGGGCAACCCUGAGUAGAGUGGCGAACGGGUGAGUAAUGUAUCGGAACGUACCCAGUAGUGGGGGAUAGCCCGGCGAAAGCCGGAUUAAUACCGCAUACGACCUACGGGUGAAAGCGGGGGAUCGCAAGACCUCGCGCUAUUGGAGCGGCCGAUAUCGGAUUAGCUAGUUGGUGGGGUAAAAGCCUACCAAGGCUACGAUCCGUAGCAGGUUUGAGAGAACGACCUGCCACACUGGGACUGAGACACGGCCCAGACUCCUACGGGAGGCAGCAGUGGGGAAUUUUGGACAAUGGGCGAAAGCCUGAUCCAGCCACGCCGCGUGAGUGAAGAAGGCCUUCGGGUUGUAAAGCUCUUUUGUCAGGGAAGAAACGGUUGAGGCUAAUAUCCUCGGCUAAUGACGGUACCUGAAGAAUAAGCACCGGCUAACUACGUG